UACGGAGGGUGCGAGCGUUGUCCGGAAUCACUGGGCGUAAAGGGCGCGUAGGCGGCCUGAUAAGUAGGGGGUGAAAUCCUGCGGCUUAACCGCAGGGCUGCCUUCUAAACUGUCGGGCUAGAGCACGGUAGAGGCAGAUGGAAUUCCCGGUGUAGCGGUGGAAUGCGUAGAGAUCGGGAAGAACAUCAGUGGCGAAGGCGGUCUGCUGGGCCGUUGCUGACGCUGAGGCGCGACAGCGUGGGGGAGCGAACAGG
rnacentral:rRNA from 1 species